UACGUAGGGUGCAAGCGUUAAUCGGAAUUACUGGGCGUAAAGCGUGCGCAGGCGGUUUUGUAAGUCUGACGUGAAAUCCCCGGGCUCAACCUGGGAAUUGCGUUGGAGACUGCAAGGCUAGAAUCUGGCAGAGGGGGUUAGAAUUCCACGUGUAGCAGUGAAAUGCGUAGAGAUGUGGAGGAACACCGAUGGCGAAGGCAGCCCCCUGGGUCAAGAUUGACGCUCAUGCACGAAAGCGUGGGGAGCAAACAGG
rnacentral:rRNA from 1 species